rnacentral:ncRNA from 1 species
AUUCUGGUUGAUCCUGCCUGUAGUUAUUAUGCUUGUCUCAUAGAUUAAGCCAUGCAUGUCUAAGUACACACGAAUUAACAGUGAAACCGCCAAAGGCUCAUUAUAUCACUUAUGGUUCCUUAGAUCGUUAACAGCUACCUGGAUAACUGAGGUAAAUCUAGAGCUAAAUACAUGUAAUUAACACACGGACCUUUUGGAACGAGGGCGUUUAUUACUCAAAAUCCAGCGUUCUCCAAAUCCUUUUAUUCGUUGAAUCCCAAUAUCAUGUUAAUUCAUGGUCUUGUAAUUCUACAUAUCAUUCAAUGUCAUCU